AACGAACGCUGGCGGCAGGCUUAACACAUGCAAGUCGAGCGCCCCGCAAGGGGAGCGGCAGACGGGAGACUAACGCGUGGGAACGUAUCCUUUGCAACGGAAUAGCUCCGGGCCACUGAAAAUAAUACCGUAUGAUCCCUCAGGGGGAAAGAUUUGUCGGCAAAGGACCGGACCGUGUUGGAUUAGCUAGUUGGUGGGGUAAUGGCCUAUCAAGGAGAAGAGCCAUAGCUGGUCUGAGAGGAUGAUCAGCCGCAUUGGGACUGGGACACGGCCCAAGCUCCUACGGGAGGCAGCAGUGGGGAAUAUUGGACUAUGGGCGCUAGCCUGAUCCAGCCAUGCCGCGUGAGUGAUGAAGGCCUUAGGGUUGUAGAGCUCUUUCUCCUGAGAAGAUAAUGACGGUAUCCGGAGAAGAAGCCCCGGCUAACUUCGUGCCAGCAGCCGCAGUAACAC
rnacentral:rRNA from 1 species